UCAUCAGUGAGGCUGUUCCUUACCUGUUCCUUCUUAUGGAAAAACAGACAUGAUAAAUCGGGGAGGCUGAGUAUAUGAAUUUUCAGCAGUGGUUGAUUCAAAGUCUCUCGAUGUAGUCAGGGUUUUGAG